AACGAACGCUGGCGGCAGGCUUAACACAUGCAAGUCGAGCGCCCCGCGAGGGGAGCGGCAGACGGGUGAGUAACGCGUGGGAAUCUACCGUGCCCUACGGAAUAGCUCCGGGAAACUGGAAUUAAUACCGUAUACGCCCUACGGGGGAAAGAUUUAUCGGGGUAUGAUGAGCCCGCGUUGGAUUAGCUAGUUGGUGGGGUAAAGGCCUACCAAGGCGACGAUCCAUAGCUGGUCUGAGAGGAUGAUCAGCCACAUUGGGACUGAGACACGGCCAAACUCCUACGGGAGGCAGCAGUGGGGAAUAUUGGACAAUGGGCGCAAGCCUGAUCCAGCCAUGCCGCGUGAGUGAUGAAGGUCUUAGGAGUGUAAAGCUCUUUCACCGGUGAAGAUAAUGACGGUAACCGGAGAAGAAGCCCCGGCUAACUUCGUGCCAGCCGCCGCCGUAA
rnacentral:rRNA from 1 species